rnacentral:lncRNA from 1 species
UUUGGGCCUAAUUCAAUCCAUUCUGAACUUCUGGUCUUCAGAACGAUGUAAUUAUGGUAAAGCCAAUUGCUCUAGUACGUUUAUAUUGUCAUAAAAUUUGUUAUGAGAUGCGAAGUUCAUAAACAACAGAAUGCCCAAGAUAAUUUAGGUGGCGAAUCUGACAUCAUUUGUCUUGUGAACGAUGUCUUCUAGUCUUGUUUUCACAUGGUACACUGACAAGAAAGUAUUUUAUUGUGUGUGCAUACUUAUCUAAGGGCACUAACUCCACUUAUAGGUGCUCUUCCUCAUGACCUGCUCAUGUCUCAAAGGCCACAAGUCUUCAUGCCAGGACUUUGGCCAUCUGGGUAUGUCAAUACAUGAAGGGAGAACAUAAUCCUUCGGACCAUAGUAUUACUGGGGUUUUUUGGGGGGCAUUAUUAUAAAAUAUUAGUUAAGUUUACUCAGUCUCAAGAUCUAUUUGGAUAACAUAUUAGGUACUUUCCUAGAUAGGUUUAUUCUGAGAAAUAAAAUUCAUGACUCAGGUAAAAAUUCCAAAAGAACAUGUUAACGGACUGAUGAUAAAGUUGUCAUUAAUUCAUUAAUCAUUAAUUCUGUUUAAGUAAUAUUAUGGACCUACUUGGUUUCUCUGCUGCUGUGAUAAAACAUUGAUCAAAAGCAACUUGGGUGAAAAAGUAAUUAUUGACUUUUCCCCAUCACAGUCUAUCUCUGAGCAAAAGCAAGGAGGGAGCCUAGAUAUAUGAACUGAUCCAGAAAUGCAGAGAAACACUGCUUAGUGGCCUGCUGCUCAUGGUCGGCUCAGCUUGCUUUCUCAUACAACCCCCAACCACCUGCCAGGGUUGGCACCACCCAAAGGCUGGUGGCUGUUCUGUCUGC